rnacentral:rRNA from 1 species
GUCUACGGCCAUACCACCCUGAAAGCGCCUGAUCUUGUCUCAUCUCAGAAGCUAAGCAGGGUCGGGCCUGGUUAGUACUUGGAUGGGAG